UGACUNGAGUGCAGAAGGGGAGAGUGGAAUUCCAUGUGUAGCGGUGAAAUGCGUAGAUAUAUGGAGGAACACCAGUGGCGAAAGCGGCUCUCUGGUCUGUCACUGACGCUGAGGCUCGAAAGCGUGGGUAGCGAACAGGAUUAGAUACCCUGGUAGUCCACGCCGUAAACGAUGAGUGCUAGGUGUUAGGCCCUUUCCGGGGCUUAGUGCCGGAGCUAACGCAAUAAGCACUCCGCCUGGGGAGUACGACCGCAAGGUUGAAACUCAAAGGAAUUGACGGGGGCCCGCACAAGCGGUGGAGCAUGUGGUUUAAUUCGAAGCAACGCGAAGAACCUUACCAGGUCUUGACAUCCCGAUGCUAUUCUUAGAGAUAGGAAGUUACUUCGGUACAUCGGAGACAGGUGGUGCAUGGUUGUCGUCAGCUCGUGUCGUGAGAUGUUGGGUUAAGUCCCGCAACGAGCGCAACCCUUAUUGUUAGUUGCCAUCAUUAAGUUGGGCACUCUAGCGAGACUGCCGGUAAUAAACCGGAGGAAGGUGGGGAUGACGUCAAAUCAUCAUGCCCCUUAUGACCUGGGCUACACACGUGCUACAAUGGUCGGUACAACGAGUUGCGAGCCGGUGACGGCAAGCUAAUCUCUGAAAGCCGAUCUCAGUUCGGAUUGGAGGCUGCAACUCGCCUCCAUGAAGUCGGAAUCACUAGUAAUCGCGGAUCAGCACGCCGCGGUGAAUACGUUCCCGGGCCUUGUACACACCGCCCGUCACACCACGAGAGUUUGUAACACCCGAAGUCGGUGAGGUAACCUUUUAGGG
rnacentral:rRNA from 1 species